CGUCGGUGCUGAAUUAGUGAUUGGCACCGAUUUUUUAUCUCAACUAGGAGUAAGAUAUGUCACUAACUGCGGCAAAAAAAGCUGAAAUCGUUAAGGAUUUUGGUCAAGGCGAA
rnacentral:ncRNA from 1 species